AGCGGAACGAUGGUAGCUUGCUACCAGGCGUCGAGCGGCGGACGGGUGAGUAAUACUUAGGAAUCUACCUAGUAGUGGGGGAUAGCACGGGGAAACUCGUAUUAAUACCGCAUACGACCUACGGGAGAAAGGGGGCAGUUUACUGCUCUCGCUAUUAGAUGAGCCUAAGUCGGAUUAGCUAGAUGGUGGGGUAAAGGCCUACCAUGGCGACGAUCUGUAGCUGGUCUGAGAGGAUGAUCAGCCACACCGGGACUGAGACACGGCCCGGACUCCUACGGGAGGCAGCAGUGGGGAAUAUUGGACAAUGGGGGAAACCCUGAUCCAGCCAUGCCGCGUGUGUGAAGAAGGCCUUUUGGUUGUAAAGCACUUUAAGCAGUGAAGAAGACUCUUCGGUUAAUACCCGGAGACGAUGACAUUAGCUGCAGAAUAAGCACCGGCUAACUCUGUGCCAGCAGCCGCGGUAAUACAGAGGGUGCAAGCGUUAAUCGGAAUUACUGGGCGUAAAGCGAGCGUAGGUGGCUUGAUAAGUCAGAUGUGAAAUCCCCGGGCUUAACCUGGGAACUGCAUCUGAAACUGUUAGGCUAGAGUAGGUGAGAGGGAAGUAGAAUUUCAGGUGUAGCGGUGAAAUGCGUAGAGAUCUGAAGGAAUACCGAUGGCGAAGGCAGCUUCCUGGCAUCAUACUGACACUGAGGCUCGAAAGCGUGGGUAGCAAACAGGAUUAGAUACCCUGGUAGUCCACGCCGUAAACGAUGUCUACUAGUCGUUGGGUCCCUUGAGGACUUAGUGACGCAGCUAACGCAAUAAGUAGACCGCCUGGGGAGUACGGCCGCAAGGUUAAAACUCAAAUGAAUUGACGGGGGCCCGCACAAGCGGUGGAGCAUGUGGUUUAAUUCGAUGCAACGCGAAGAACCUUACCUGGUCUUGACAUAUCUAGAAUCCUGCAGAGAUGCGGGAGUGCCUUCGGGAAUUAGAAUACAGGUGCUGCAUGGCUGUCGUCAGCUCGUGUCGUGAGA
rnacentral:rRNA from 1 species